GUAUACGGCUGAGAGGGCGACCGGCCACACUGGGACUGAGACACGGCCCAGACUCCUACGGGAGGAGCAGUGGGGAAUAUUGCACAAUGGGCGAAAGGCUGAUGCAGCGCCGCCGCGUGAGGGAUGACGGCCUUCGGGUUGUAAACCUCUUUCAGCAGGGAAGAAGCGAAAGUGACGGUACCUGCAGAAGAAGCGCCGGCUAACUACGUGCCAGCAGCCGCGGUAAUACGUAGGGCGCAAGCGUUGUCCGGAAUUAUUGGGCGUAAAGAGCUCGUAGGCGGCUUGUCGCGUCGGUUGUGAAAGCCCGGGGCUUAACCCCGGGUCUGCAGUCGAUACGGGCAGGCUAGAGUUCGGGUAGGGGAGAUCGGAAUUCCUGGUGUAGCGGUGAAAUGCGCAGAUAUCAGGAGGAACACCGGUGGCGAAGGCGGAUCUCUGGGCCGAUACUGACGCUGAGGAGCGAAAGCGUGGGGGAGCGAACAGGAUUAGAUACCCUGGUAGUCCACGCCGUAAACGUGGGCACUAGGUGUGGGCAACAUUCCACGUUGUCCGUGCCGCAGCUAACGCAUUAAGUGCCCCGCCUGGGAAGUACGGA
rnacentral:rRNA from 1 species